GAGUUUGAUCCUGGCUCAGGAUGAACGCUAGCGGCAGGCUUAACACAUGCAAGUCGAGGGGCAGCGGGGAGGAAGCUUGCUUUCUCCGCCGGCGACCGGCGCACGGGUGAGUAACACGUAUGCAACCUGCCCCUGUCAGGGGGACAACCCGCCGAAAGGCGGGCUAAACCCGCGUACAUGCCACCGGGGCAUCCCGGAGGCAGGAAAGGCUUCGGCCGGACAGGGAUGGGCAUGCGGCGCAUUAGGCAGUAGGCGGGGUAACGGCCCACCUAACCGACGAUGCGUAGGGGUUCUGAGAGGAAGGUCCCCCACACUGGUACUGAGACACGGACCAGACUCCUACGGGAGGCAGCAGUGAGGAAUAUUGGUCAAUGGUCGGGAGGCUGAACCAGCCAAGCCGCGUGAGGGAGGAAGGUACAGAGUAUCGUAAAUCUCUUUUGUCAGGGAACAAAGGCGGGGACGUGUCCCCGGAUGAGUGUACCUGAAGAAAAAGCAUCGGCUAACUCCGUGCCAGCAGCCGCGGUAAUACGGAGGAUGCGAGCGUUAUCCGGAUUUAUUGGGUUUAAAGGGUGCGCAGGCGGUCUGUUAAGUCAGCGGUCAAAGCCCGGGGCUCAACCCCGGCCCGCCGUUGAAACUGGCAGUCUCGAGUUGGAGAAAAGUAUGCGGAAUGCGCGGUGUAGCGGUGAAAUGCAUAGAUAUCGCGCAGAACUCCGAUUGCGAAGGCAGCAUGCCGGCUCCACACUGACGCUGAGGCACGAAAGCGUGGGUAUCGAACAGGAUUAGAUACCCUGGUAGUCCACGCAGUAAACGAUGAAUGCUGGCUGUCCGGGGGGAUUGACCCCUGGGUGGCGAAGCGAAAGCGAUAAGCAUUCCACCUGGGGAGUACGCCGGCAACGGUGAAACUCAAAGGAAUUGACGGGGGCCCGCACAAGCGGAGGAACAUGUGGUUCAAUUCGAUGAUACGCGAGGAACCUUACCCGGGCUCAAACGGGGAGUGACUCAGGCAGAGACGCCUGUUUCCCACGGGACACUCCCCGAGGUGCUGCAUGGUUGUCGUCAGCUCGUGCCGUGAGGUGUCGGCUUAAGUGCCAUAACGAGCGCAACCCCCGCGUGCAGUUGCUAACAGAUAACGCUGAGGACUCUGCACGGACUGCCGGCGCAAGCCGCGAGGAAGGCGGGGAUGACGUCAAAUCAGCACGGCCCUUACGUCCGGGGCGACACGCGUGUUACAAUGGGUGGUACAGCGGGAAGCCAGGCGGCGACGCCGAGCGGAACCCGAAAUCCACUCUCAGUUCGGAUCGGAGUCUGCAACCCGACUCCGUGAAGCUGGAUUCGCUAGUAAUCGCGCAUCAGCCAUGGCGCGGUGAAUACGUUCCCGGGCCUUGUACUCACCGCCCGUCA
rnacentral:rRNA from 1 species